GGUGGAAGUUGAAUUAGUGAGGAUGACUCCUGCUCCUGUCAUCUCUAAGCUCCUCACACAUCUUUACCUGCACAUGAGGAAAAUCACUCCUGUAGAAUGCAGAUGUUCAGAGGGAGAUGAUGCCACAUCUGGUCCAGCUGAUGGAAGGUCUUGAAGUUCUCUGACUGGCCUCGACUGAAGAUGGUCGUCUCUCUGGAUUUAAGGUUCAGAUGCUCAGUAACAAACUCCACCAAUGAGCCAACAGGGAAGCUUUAGGUUUAUUAAAUGUUGCUAUGAAGGUUUCGCUGUUUUUCUUUGUGAAUGCAAUGUGCUCUAACUGAAACUUGAAUUAGAACUUAGAAGUAAAUCCUUCCAUCUGAAAGGAUUUAGUUGCAUUAAUAACCUCAUAACAUUCUAAUUUUUACUCCAGUCUUAGUUGGAAAUAGAAUCUCUGUAUUGAUUCAGGUAAAAACUGAACUUCACAGCAUGUUGGAGCAAAACAACCAGAUGAAAACUGUGAUGGUGUUGGAUUGUCAGACCGUAAUGUUGCAGCUCAAAGCAGCUUUUCUAGCUCAGUUCAUUCUGACAUUCAGCUAUGAAUCAACACAGCAGAUGGUGAUCCAUGCUGUGGAAGUCUCACAUCUCCUGAUUUAAUGGAGCUGCUUUGCACUUUUUACACUGUUUAUUCACCAACACUUUAUUUAAUAAAAGUCCCAUCUAGUUUUUAUGAGGAAUGUGAUGUUUUAAUUUCUCUGUGAAUAACUGCAGUCUAAUGGAACAGCUGGAAUUGUAACAUCUGUCCUGAUAUUGAUCAUGAAGUAUUGAUCAGAAUACUUAUGGUCAGCAGUCAUCCCUGAAGUUUUACAUUAAAAUCUUUACUUGUGUUGUGAACUUUGGUAAGAAGCAGAAAUGUUAGCGUUGCCAUGGAUACAUGAGUGUUAAAUUCUGUCCAUGUUUCCAUUUUGGGAAAUUCAGUCCAGCAGAUGAGUUUGUUUUUACUGCCAGCUACCAUUCAGUCUGAGAUAUUAAGAAUAAAUAAAUGUGCAUCACGUGGAAACGAACAGAUUUUAUUUUUAUUUAUUCCUACAGCUGCUGCAGGAAAGUUCCAAAAUGUGGAGGAAUUUAGUGUCACAAUCACAGAAAAUAAAUAUUAUCUGAAAGUCAGGUUAUUGUUUAUCAGCACAAUACAAAAAGAUUCAUGUUAGAAAUAUUCCAGUUAAGACUCUAGAGUAUCAUGAUUUAUGUAAAUUUACCUCAAUAAUAUGAAUGUUCAGGUUAAGAUUGUGCAGUGAUAUUUAUUAUGUAAGUUUAGCUGAUAAAAGUUUAUGACUCUGCACUACAAUAUUAUUUAUUUAAAUUUACAUCAUCAUUAUUAUAAUAUUUAGGGUCAGACCCUACAGUAUUGAGAUUAAGAAAUAAAAUAUUCUGUAAAAUGUAAAUACACUGAACUAAUCUGGAUAUAUUUAAGUGAAACUACAAUAUUAUUUGACACAAAUCUAUCUAAAUCCAAAUUUUCAUCAUUUUUCUCCAAACAUUUACUGGACUGAUUUAAAUAUUAAAAUCACUCCUUUCUAAUCCUCUGCUGUACGUUCAGACCUGAGGCCUUAAAUAGAAACACACAAGUAUGUGAUUGAAGGAACUUCUGCAGAGUCCUGGUUCCAGAACAUGAUGAUAGAAUUAUAGACAAACUUUAACAAAAGCUGCCUGAGAGUUUACAGGUUUUUAUGUUAGAUUUCUUCAGUAAUUUAAUGAGAGUUAUCAGAAAAAAUCAAGUGUUCAUUUGAAUUGGAGCUCAUAUCUUUGGCAGCUGUAAAGUUUCUGCUCCUUCAAAGUUCACAACACAAUGAAUGAAUUCCUAAAACACUCUCAAUGCUGGAGAGCGUUUGUGAUGCUGAAGCAGUG